rnacentral:rRNA from 1 species
CAGUAGCCGCGGGAAUACGAAGGGUGCAAGCGUUAAUCGGAAUUACUAGGCGUAAAGCGUGCGUAGGCGGUUUGUUAAGUCUGUUGUGAAAUCCCCGGGCUCAACCUGGGAAUGGCAAUGGAUACUGGCAAGCUAGAGUGUGUCAGAGGAUGGUGGAAUUCCCAGUGUAGCGGUGAAAUGCGUAGAGAUCGGGAGGAACAUCAGUGGCGAAGGCGGCCAUCUGGGACAACACUGACGCUGAGGCACGAAAGCGUGGGGAGCAAACAGGAUUAGAUACCCCUGUAGUCCCUGUCUCUUAUAC